rnacentral:misc_RNA from 1 species
GAUGAAGAACGCAGCGAAAUGCGAUAAGUAAUGUGAAUUGCAGAAUUCAGUGAAUCAUCGAAUCUUUGAACGCACAUUGCGCCCGCUAGUAUUCUGGCGGGCAUGCCUGUCCGAGCGUCAUUUCAACCCUCAAGCCCCCGGGCUUGGUGUUGGGGAUCGGCGAGCCUCCGCGCCCGCCGUCCCCUAAAUCUAGUGGCGGUCUCGCUGUAGCUUCCUCUGCGUAGUAGCACACCUCGCACUGGGAAACAGCGCGGCCACGCCGUUAAACCCCCCACUUCUGAACGUUUGCCCUCGGAUCAGGUAGGAAUACCCGCUGAACUUAAGCAUAUCAAUAAGCGGAGGA